AACAAAUUAAUAAGUGCAAAUGGCGGAUGCCUAGGCACCAGAAGCCGAUGAAGGUCGUAGGAGGCUGCGAAAAGCCUCGGGGAGCCGCCAACCAGGCUUCGAUCCGAGGAUUACCGAAUGGGGAAACCCGGCUGGAGUAAUGUCCAGUCAUUUCUCUCUGAAUAAAUAGGAGAGUCAAAGGUAACGAGGGGAAGUGAAACAUCUCAGUACCCUCAGGAAGAGAAAACAACCGUGAUUCCGUUAGUAGUGGCGAGCGAAAGCGGAAGAGGCUAAACCAAUCAUGUGCCAAGCCGGCAGGCGUUGCAUGAUCGGUGUCGUGGGACUAAAUCGAAUCAACUGCCGUUAAUUCAACAAGUCAGAAAAUAAUGAAAUAGAUGAAGGACGUGGGAAAGUCCGGCAUAGAAGGUGAGACCCCUGUAGUCGAAAUUUCAUUAUCUUGUUUUUAGUAUCCCAAGUAAUACCGGACUCGUGUAAUCCGGUAUGAAUCUGGCGGGACCACCCGCUAAGCCUAAAUACUCUCUGGUGACCGAUAGUGAACAAGUACCGUGAGGGAAAGGUGAAAAGAACCCCGCAAGGGGAGUGAAAUAGAAUCUGAAACCGUUUGCAUACAAACCGUUGGAGCUGCCUUGUGCAGUGACAGCGUGCCUUUUGAAGAAUGAGUCUACGAGUUAGUGUGAUGUAGCAAGGUUAACCCGUCGAGGGGAAGCCGUAGCGAAAGCGAGUCUGAAUAGGGCGAAUAAGUUGCAUCAUCUAAACCCGAAGCGAGGUGAUCUCGCCAUGACCAGGUUGAAGCGCGGGUAAGACCGCGUGGAGGACCGAACCCACUAAAGUUGAAAAUUUAGGGGAUGAGUUGUGGCUAGGGGUGAAAGACCAAUCAAACUUCGUGAUAGCUGGUUCUCUCCGAAAUGCAUUUAGGUGCAGCGUUACGUGUUUCUUACCGGAGGUAGAGCUACUGGAUGGUCGAGGGGCCCUACAAGGUUACCAACAUCAGCCAAACUCCGAAUGCCGGUAAGUGAGAACGUAGCAGUGAGACAGUGGGGGAUAAUCUUCAUUGUCGAGAGGGAAACAACCCAGAGUAGCAACUAAGGUCCCAAAGCGUGUGCUAAGUGGAAAAGGAUGUGAAGUCGCAUAGACAACCAGGAGGUUGGCUUAGAAGCAGCCACCCUUAAAAAAGUGCGUAAUAGCUUACUGGUCAAGUGAUUUCGCGCCGACAAUGUAACGGGGCUCAAGCACACCACCGAAGUUCUAUCAUUCACACACUAUCCCGGUCGUAAGAUCCAGGAGUGUGGAUGGGUAGGAGAGCGUCGUGUAGCUGGCGAAGCGGCGGAGGAAUCCAGCCGUGGAAGCUACACGAGUGAGAAUGUAGACAUGAGUAGCGAGAGUUGGGUGAGAAACCCAACCGCCGAAAGACCAAGGGUUCCUGGGCCAGGCUAAUCCGCCCAGGGUAAGUCGGGACCUAAGACGAGGCCGUCAGGCGUAGUCGAUGGACAACGGGUUGAUAUUCCCGUACCCGCGUAAGUUCGUCCCUGACGAACCUCCUAAUGCUAAGUUUUCGAAGCGUUAUUGGCGUAAGUCGAUGGCGUGGAGGGAACGACCCGGUGGAGUAGUAGUCAAGCAAUGGUGUGACACAGGAAGGUAGUCCAGCCCGGGCGAUGGUUGUCCCGGGGUAAGAGUGUAGGGAGUUAUGUAGGCAAAUCCGCAUAACGUUUAACUGAGACUUGAUGCCGAGCCGAAUGGCGAAGUGGAUGAUCCUAUGCUGUCAAGAAAAGCAUCUAGCGAGAACUUAAGUGGCCCGUACCCGAAACCGACACAGGUGGUCAGGUAGAGAAUACCAAGGCGAUCGAGAGAAUCGUGGAUAAGGAACUCGGCAAAAUACCCCCGUAACUUCGGGAGAAGGGGGGCCAAUUUACGUGUAGGAGUUUUCCUCCGAAGCGUGAGUCGGCCGCAGAGACUAGGCUCAAGCGACUGUUUACCAAAAACACAGGUCCGUGCGAAGUUGCAAAACGAUGUAUACGGACUGACGCCUGCCCGGUGCUGGAAGGUUAAGGGGA
rnacentral:rRNA from 1 species